UACGUAGGAGGCAAGCGUUGUCCGGAAUUACUGGGCGUAAAGCGCGUGUAGGCGGUCUGAAUAGUCUGCUGUGAAAGCGCCUGGCUUAACCGGGCGAGGUCGGCGGAAACUCUCAGACUGGAGGCCGGUAGAGGGGGGUGGAAUUCCCGGUGUAGUGGUGAAAUGCGUAGAGAUCGGGAGGAACACCAGUGGCGAAAGCGGCUUUCUGGUCCUUGACUGACGCUGAGGCGCGAAAGCAUGGGGAGCGAACGGG
rnacentral:rRNA from 1 species